rnacentral:rRNA from 1 species
ACUCCUACGGGAGGCAGCAGUGGGGAAUAUUGCACAAUGGGCGCAAGCCUGAUGCAGCCAUGCCGCGUGUGUGAAGAAGGCCUUCGGGUUGUAAAGCACUUUCAGUCGUGAGGCCCCCCCCAAGGUAGUGUAGUUAAUAGCUGCAUUAUUUGACGUUAGCGACAGAAGAAGCACCGGCUAACUCCGUGCCAGCAGCCGCGGUAAUACGGAGGGUGCGAGCGUUAAUCGGAAUUACUGGGCGUAAAGCGCAUGCAGGUGGUUUGUUAAGUCAGAUGUGAAAGCCCGGGGCUCAACCUCGGAAUUGCAUUUGAAACUGGCAGACUAGAGUACUGUAGAGGGGGUAGAAUUCAGGUGUAGCGGUGAAAUGCGUAGAGAUCUGAAGGAAUACCGGUGGCGAAGGCGGCCCCCUGGACAGAUACUGACACUCAGAUGCGAAAGCGUGGGGAGCAAACAGGAUUAGAUACCCUGGUAGCUACGAGU